rnacentral:rRNA from 1 species
UACGUAGGGUGCGAGCGUUAAUCGGAAUUACUGGGCGUAAAGCGUGCGCAGGCGGUGAUGUAAGACAGGUGUGAAAUCCCCGGGCUUAACCUGGGGAACUGCAUUUGUGACUGCAUCGCUGGAGUGCGGCAGAGGGGGAUGGAAUUCCGCGUGUAGCAGUGAAAUGCGUAGAUAUGCGGAGGAACACCGAUGGCGAAGGCAAUCCCCUGGGCCUGCACUGACGCUCAUGCACGAAAGCGUGGGGAGCAAACAGG